rnacentral:lncRNA from 1 species
GGGGAAGGGGUGGCUGUGCGCGCAGCUUCAGCAGACUUAAACGUUCCUGCCUGUCAGCUCUGAAGAGAACAGCAGAUCUCCUAGCACAGCGCUUGAGCUCUGCUAAGGGACAGACUGCCUCCUCAAGUGGGUCCCUGAUCGCCAUGCCUCCUGACUAGAAGACACCUCCCAACAGGGGUAGACAGACACCUCAUACAGGAGACCUCCUGCUGUCAUCAGGUGGGAGCCCCUCUGGGAUGAAGCUUCCAGAGGAAGGAGCAGGCAGCAAUCUUUGCUGUUCUGCAGCCUCCGCUGGUGAUACCCAAACAAACAAGGUCUGGAGUGGACCUCCAGCAAACUCCAGCAGACCUGCAGAAGAGAGUCCUGACUGUUAGAAAGACAACUAACAAACAGAAACAAUAACAUCAAUAUCAAGAAAAGGGACACCCACCCAAAAACCCCAUCCAAUGGUCAAUAGCAUCAAAAAUCAAAGAAAAAAAAAAUCCAGAUCAAGUGGCAUGCAUGGUACAAAGUGAAAAGGAAUGGCUGAAGAGAGCCUCCUAAAAAGAAGCUAACGUCACAUUGGCUCUGUCUUUAAAAUCACUAAAGGAAACAAACAGCAGACUUUACAAGGAAAAGGAAAACAUAAACUGCUUACAUAGAAUAUCUACAUUUGGAAGGUGCUGAAUGGACAACUGGCUUAGAAAAACAUUAUAUUUCAUGAGUAUUACCCCUGAUGUUCAUAAUUUCAUAGUUAAGCUGUUCCCUCUUUUGAUUUUAUGCAGACAUUUCAAAGUGAAGUGCAUUAACUAUGUAUGCAAAUAUGUGAAUUCUUGUCUGUGUAUGUGUGAGAGAGAGAGGCAGAGUGUGUGUAUGUAUGUGUGUGUAAAUAUGUACACAAAUGCUGUAUAUUAAAAUGUUUUGAACUCUGUUAAUUCAGGCACUAGAAUGUCAGGCAGAAGAAAAGAAAACUCAAUCCACAACUGUUA